CACAAUAGAAACGCAGCUUUCUUUCCCUUCCUCUCAGAGCGGAGUGGAGUGGAGACAUCCUGAGUGGAGGGUGUAUCACUCUUCCAGGAAAGUGGGGUCCUGUUCAUUAUUAAUGCCAGCUGAUGUUUUUUAAGUCCAGAGGUUUGCCAGGUUAGCUUAAGCCUAAGAGUAGUGACUUGGGAGAAUAUGAUGCCUGAAUCUGGAUGUUCUGGAAGAAAGACAAGGAUAGGAUGAGACAGAAAGUUCCAGAGUAGGAGUGUUUUCAGGGGAGGGGAAAACUGAGUCAGGUACUGUCAUGAAGGCCACUGGAUGCUUCAGAGUAGAGGGGAUAAAACAGUAUAGUUUACAAGCCAGGAAAGGGCACAGACCAGGAGAGAUGGGGGCACAGCUUGACAGGCAACACCUAUUUUCCAAUUUUGUCCAGAGGCAGCUUUUCUCUAAGUCAGACUUUUCUUCACAGCUCUUCUGUGCCUCUUUACCAAAGCCAAUGAUAACUACUGUGACCAGCUUUGUUUUUCUAUAGUAGGUGGAAUAAAUUGUACCCUAUCAAUGUUAUCAGUAUACCAGCUGAAGAAAAUUUGUGUCAUCUACAACCCUACUUUGAUAAAAGCUCUUGCACUUUUGACUCCCUCUGGUUGAAUUAAUUGCAUACACAUUUAACAAUUAUUUAUGGUACUCCUUCUGCAUGCCAAGUGCUGUUCUUAACACUAAAGACACCAAAUUGAACAAGACCGAAAAACAUUUUCCCACCCUCAUGAACUUUAAGUAAUAGGAUAAAGAAAUAGACAUUAAACGUAUGCAAACAUACAAACAUACGUACCUACAUUGAUAUUUCAGAUGUUGGUAAAAGACAGUAAGGCAAUAAAACAAGGUAAUAAGGGAGAGGAUAGGGAAAGUGCUACUUUAGAUAAGGGUCAUCUGGGGUCCUUUGUGAGAAAAUAUUGGAUCUGAGACCAGAAUAAUGAGGCAGAAUUAGCCAUGCAAAAACUCAGUUAAUCCAACUAAACAAAUAUUUGAAUUGUGCUAGGUACUAUUCUGGUUACCUGUGUUCUACUAGUGAAUGAAACAAAGUUCCUACUUGUACAGUCAUUGUUUCUGAGUGUGUGUGGUGCAUAUAUUACUAAUUUGCAUGCAUGUGCGCACACCACACACACACACAUGCCCAGAUGCUAUGAAGAAACAUGAGGUAGGGGAAGAAAGAGUGUACGACUUGAGAACGAUGGGGGCACAUCAGUAUUAUUUUAUAGAGGAGUCAGGGAACUCUAUAAAUUCAUAUUUGAGUGGAAAUCUGAAAGGAGUGAGGGUGAAGUCUCAGAGUAGAAUGCCUAAGGCAGAGGGCCUUAAUGACGGAGAAGCGUGAUGGACUUGGAUGACAGGAGGAAGCUGCAUGAGGACGCAGCCUGGUGCAUAGGUUGGAGGGCAAUCAAAUAUGACAUCAGAGCUGAGCAGGAAGAGCACAUAGGACCUUUUAGACUCAAGUGUGGAGUGUAGAUUUCAUUCAAUUUACCAUAGCAAGCUUUGGGGAAGUUUGACACAGUGACACUAUGUGAUUUCCCCUUAGUUGAGGGACUUAAUGGAGAUUAAGGUGGGAAAGAAGGUAAAAAUCCUUAUUUUGAAGUUUAAAAUAUCCAGACAAUACCCACCUAUUUAGUUCUUCCUCAAUCAGAACUUUUACUAUAACUAACCUCAGAAAGAGUGAAAGAUUUAGGGAGGCUUUGGAUCUUAAUUCUCCAGGCCUGGAAUGAAUUUCAAGUGCUAUCCUCUGUGUUCAUAACGAGGUUCAUGUGGCUGGAAGGAAAGAGAAGCAGAGCCUUCUUCCUCUCCCUUUCCCCACCCCCCACCUUAUUCCCUUAGUUUUUUAAAGAAAAGAAUUGUAUUUUCAUUGUCUAAGUGCUGCAUAUUAAGAUAACAAGCUCAAAGAAGAGUGCACCCAAACAGUGCAUGAGGUAAAAUGAGGACAAUACUUGGAUUCCUGAGGGCUGUAAUUAAAGCUGUCUGGAUUAACAAAGAGUUAUUUCAAUUCAGAUUUAUGUUCCAAGGAAACCAAAAAAAAAAAAAAAAAAAA
ensembl:lncRNA